CCAAAACCAAGAGUCAGACGCUUAACCAACUGAGCCACCCAGAUGCUCCUCAAAAUCUCUUACAAUUUCAGUCAGAAGGAAAAGAGUCUACAUUCAGGCCAUGGUAUCUUCACAGGCAGAGUGAGUGAGUGUCCUCUGUCGAAGGUUCUACACCGUCUUUGAAUCAUUACAAAUGAAUAAUCGUCAUCCUUCCUAUUUUAACGGGGCUGGAGAACACAACGUCCCCUUUGGUUUACAACCCGGGAAGAUUCUUCAGGAUGGCAGUCAUGCCCACUUGCGCAGAUUAGAAGCCACAAAGAUCAAUUUUCUUAGCCAUUUCUGUGACCUGCCUGUGCAAGAGGAGUGGUUUGGUGAGACUUUGCCUGUAGGGAUCAGUGGAGUCGUAGCCUGUGCCUGACAUAAGACACGAGUGCGGGGCCCCGGGUGCCACAGCCAGGAGCUCCCGGGAGGUUCUCGGCUCCUUGAUGAAAGGCUGCUUUGGACCAAAGGUGACGCACUGCUCUGCUCACCCCUCGUCUGUGACCCUGGGGCAGGAAGACUAAUGCGCCAGAUCAAACCAGGAGCAGAGGGAAAAUCUUCAAGCUAAGCCUGUGUGAGGGGUUUCUUAAAGGCAGAAUUUAUAGUUGCCUUUAAAAAACUCACUGGCAGUCUCUAGCGGGACUAGAUAUUCAUUGUUUAAGAUCCAUGGGUUAUAUUUGCCAUGCAUCCAAUGACUCUGUUUUACUGCCUAGGCAUUUUCUUUGGCACGAUCUUCUUUCUUUUACCCAUCAUCGUGGCCAGUUGGAUAAUUGUAAAGCACAAACAAGGCAAAACUACAGAUGAAAAACGUAAGGAGAGUAUCCAUUUACAUCCUCAAGAAGAGAGCGGUGUAAGUCCUCAAACUGUGCAAACAAAUCAGGAGAACAGCAGGUACGUAAUGUACAUAUUGAAUUCAUAAUGUUGUCAGUAACUCAGAGCGAAAGUGAGAACAGGAUGUGCCUAA